AACAAACGCUGGCGGCGUGCCUAAUACAUGCAAGUCGAACGGGGAAAGCUUUCGGGUGAGUACUAGUGGCGCACGGGUGGGGAACGCGUGGAUAAUCUGCCUUAGAGUGGGGGAUAACUAGUCGAAAGAUUAGCUAAUACCGCAUAAGACCACGAGAGCUGCGGCUUUUGAGGUCAAAGGUUUUUCGCUCUAAGAUGAGUCCGCGUAAGAUUAGCUAGUUGGUGAGGUAACGGCUCACCAAGGCGACGAUCUUUAACUGGUCUGAGAGGAUGAUCAGUCACACUGGAACUGAGACACGGUCCAGACUCCUACGGGAGGCAGCAGUAGGGAAUAUUGCACAAUGGAGGAAACUCUGAUGCAGCGACGCCGCGUGAGUGAUGAAGGUCUUCGGGUCGUAAAGCUCUGUCGCAGGGGAAUAACACAAUGAAGGUACCCUGUAAGAAAGGAUCGGCUAACUUCGUG
rnacentral:rRNA from 1 species